rnacentral:rRNA from 1 species
GAUGAACGCUAGCGAUAGGCUUAACACAUGCAAGUCGAGGGGCAUCACGAAUUAGCAAUAGUUUGGUGGCGACCGGCGCACGGGUGCGUAACACGUAUACAACCUACCUUCAAUUGGGGAAUAACCUGGAGAAAUUUGGACUAAUACCCCAUAGUAAACGGGAGAGGCAUCUUUUGUUUUAAAGAUUUAUUGAUUGGAGAUGGGUAUGCGUAGGAUUAGCUAGUUGGUAAGGUAACGGCUUACCAAGGCGACGAUCCUUAGGGGUUCUGAGAGGAAGGUCCCCCACACUGGUACUGAGACACGGACCAGACUCCUACGGGAGGCAGCAGUGAGGAAUAUUGGUCAAUGGUCGAGAGACUGAACCAGCCAAGUCGCGUGAAGGAAGACGGCUCUAUGAGUUGUAAACUUCUUUUGUACAGGAGUAAAGUGAGACACGUGUGUUUUAUUGCAAGUACUGUAACGAAUAAGCAUCGGCUAACUCC